rnacentral:lncRNA from 1 species
AUAGUAUAGUAGAAUAAAGUAUAAAUAGGACUAACUAGGGUUUUUUGGGGAAUUUGGUCAGAUAUAGCUUCGGUGUUAAGGACAUAAAUCUCAAAGAAAGAAAAUCAUCAAUACAUUCUUAUGUUACUAAAGACAACUAGAAAGCCACUUGAAAGGUGAUAUAAUAUUAAACUAAAAUGGCAAUUGCUAAAAACAAGAGGACGAAGAAGUCUUAAAAUAAG